rnacentral:rRNA from 1 species
UACAGAGGUCUCAAGCGUUGUUCGGAUUCAUUGGGCGUAAAGGGUGUGUAGGUGGCGCGCUAAGUCGGGUGUGAAAUUUCGGAGCUUAACUCCGAAACUGCAUUCGAUACUGGCGGUGCUUGAGGACUGGAGAGGAGACUGGAAUUCAUGGUGUAGCAGUGAAAUGCGUAGAGAUCAUGAGGAAGACCAGUGGCGAAGGCGGGUCUCUGGACAGUUCCUGACACUGAGACGAAGGCCAGGGGAGCAAACGGG